rnacentral:rRNA from 1 species
GAUGAACGCUGGCGGCGUGCCUAAUACAUGCAAGUCGAGCGAAAAGGCGACGAGCUUGCUCGUUUGACGUUAGCCGCAGACGGGUGAGUAACAUGUGGAUAACCUACCUAUCAGACUGGGAUCCCUUCGUGAAACCGGAGUUAAUACCUGAUAACAUCAUGAUCCGCCUGGCCCAACAGUGAAUGACGGUCUUCCUUUGACUUAUACAUGGAUCCGCGCCGCAUUAGCUAGUUGGUAAGCUAACGGCUUACCAAGGCAUCGAUGAGUAGCUGAACUGCGAGGGUGAUAGGCCACACUGGAACUGAGACACGGUCCAGACUACUACGGGAGGCAGCAGUAGGGAAUCUUCCGCAAUGGGCGAAAGCCUGACGGAGCAACGCCGCGUGAGUGAAGAAGAUCUUCGGAUCGUAAAACUCUGUUAUUAGGGGAGAACAAAUGUGUAAGUAACUAUGCACGUCUUGACGGUACCUAAACAGAAAGCCACGGCUAACUACGUG